rnacentral:rRNA from 1 species
AUUGAACGCUGGCGGCAUGCCUUACACAUGCAAGUCGAACGGUAGAGGGGGGCAACCCCUUCGAGAGUGGCGAACGGGUGAGUAAUGCAUCGGAACGUGCCCAGUCGUGGGGGAUAGCCCGGGGAAACCCGGAUUAAUACCGCAUACGACCUGAGGGUGAAAGCGGGGGACUCGCAAGGGCCUCGCGCGAUUGGAGCGGCCGAUGUCGGAUUAGGUAGUUGGUGGGGUAAAGGCCUACCAAGCCUGCGAUCCGUAGCUGAUCUGAGAGGACGACCAGCCACACUGGGACUGAGACACGGCCCAGAGUCCUACGGGAGGCAGCAGUGGGGAAUUUUGGACAAUGGGGGCAACCCUGAUCCAGCCAUGCCGCGUGCGGGAAGAAGGCCUUCGGGUUGUAAACCGCUUUUGUCAGGGAAGAAAUGUCCUGGGCUAAUACCCUGGGGGGAUGACGGUACCUGAAGAAUAAGCACCGGCUAACUACGUGCCAGCAGCCGCGGUAA